AUCAGCCUUUCGGGUGCGAUUCUGUGGAGUGUGAGGAGCUUAAACACCUUCAUGUUUUGCAUAUUCGUACUCUUGGGUGUACUUGCCCGUGUGGUUGGUUAACAUCAAUUUUGGUGGUCAUAAAAUGACUGGAGGAAUGUAGCUUCGAUCUUGUAUUGAAGUGUUAUAGCCUUCGGUAGAUGUGAUGAUCGAGAUUGAGGAUUGCAACGGAUACCCUUCGGGGCUACCUGUCUGAUCUCUGAUCGUUGUUCUGGUGCCGAAAGCUUGCUUACGGUUAUCAAAGUCGAUGGUCAAUAGGUUAGAACGGGUUAAAUUCGUUAAGGAUGUUGACGUAAUGGCUUU
rnacentral:rRNA from 1 species